CCCUUAGAUGUUCUGGGCGGCCCGCGCACUACAUUGGCACUGUCAGCAAGGGUCUGAAACUAAAACUUUUGGGUAUUCUGAGAACCGGUGUCGUGACUGGGAUUGACCCUUGCAAUUAUUGGUUAUGAACGAGGAAUUCCUUGUAAUCGCGGUUUAUCAGCCCGCGUUGAAUGCGUCCCUGCCCUUUGUACACACCGCCCGUCGCUCCUACCGAUGGAUAAUCCGGUGAAUUAUUCGGACCGGCACUCAACCAGGUUUCCUGGAUGAGAGCUGGAAAGUCUUGUGAACCUUAUUAUCUAGAGGAAGGAGAANUCGUAACA
rnacentral:rRNA from 1 species